AGCUUAUUGAUUUUUUAUAAUAAGUGACUUCUGCCCAGUGAAAAUUUAACGGCCGCGGUAUCUUAACCGUGCAAAGGUAGCAUAAUCAUUUGCCUUUUAAUUGGAGGCUAGAAUGAAUGAAUUCACGUAAACCAAUCUUUUCCAUAUUAUUCUGUAAAAAUUAUUUUUUAGGUGAAGAAACCUAGAUUUUAUUGAAAGACAAGAAGACCCUAUCAAGCUUUAUAAUAAAAAAUUCAUUAUUUUUAAUUAUUUGAUUGGGACGAUUAAUGGAGAUAAUAAACCUCCAUAAAACUAAAGAAAAAUUUUUCUCUAAACUUAAAAUUUUAAAAUAAAAAAGCUACUGUAGGGAUAACAGGCUAAUAAUUUUUUAGAGUUCAAAUUAAAGAAAUUGAUUGGCACCUCGAUGUUGGCUUAGGAACUCUUUUCUUUGCAGCAAAAGAAAAAGAUAGUUUGUUCAACUAUUAAAUUCCU
rnacentral:rRNA from 1 species